AAAAGAUCUUUGGACACACUGAGU
rnacentral:piRNA from 1 species